GUUAACGCUCUUGAAACUUUUGAGUUUUUAAUUUCUGGCGCGGGAAUUCUGCAUUCGGACAAUCGCUUCGAUUCACUUUCUUCCUUUUCUGAAUGGCUUCAAUUUUUACAAAAAAAUUACGGUCUCGUGCUGGAUCGAGUUGAGCAACUUUUGGCCUCUCAGAUUU